UACGUAGGGUCCGAGCGUUGUCCGGAAUUAUUGGGCGUAAAGAGCUCGUAGGCGGUUUGUCGCGUCUGCUGUGAAAUCCCGAGGCUCAACCUCGGGUCUGCAGUGGGUACGGGCAGACUGGAGUGCGGUAGGGGAGAAUGGAAUUCCUGGUGUAGCGGUGGAAUGCGCAGAUAUCAGGAGGAACACCAAUUGCGAAGGCAGCACUCUGGGACGUGACUGACGCUGAGACGCGAAAGCGUGGGGAGCAAACAGG
rnacentral:rRNA from 1 species